UACGAAGGGGGCUAGCGUUACUCGGAUUGACUGGGCGUAAAGGGCGCGUAGGCGGCUUGUACAGUCAGACGUGAAAUUCCUGGGCUCAACCUGGGGGCUGCGUUUGAUACGUGCGGGCUUGAGUUCGGAAGAGGGUCGUGGAAUUCCCAGUGUAGAGGUGAAAUUCGUAGAUAUUGGGAAGAACACCGGUGGCGAAGGCGGGUCUCUGGGCCGUAACUGACGCUGAGGAGCGAAAGCGUGGGGAGCGAACAGG
rnacentral:rRNA from 1 species